AACGAACGCUGGCGGCAGGCCUAACACAUGCAAGUCGAACGAGAUCUUCGGAUCUAGUGGCGGACGGGUGAGUAACGCGUGGGAACGUGCCCUUCUCUACGGAAUAGUCCUGGGAAACUGGGUUUAAUACCGUAUACGCCCUUCGGGGGUAAAGAAAUUUCGGGGUAAGGAUCGGCCCGCGUUGGAUUAGGUAGUUGGUGGGGUAAUGGCCUACCGAAGCCGACGAUCCAUAGCUGGUUUGAGAGGAUGAUCAGCCACACUGGGACUGAGACACGGGCCCAGACUCCUACGGGAGGCAGCAGUGGGGAAUCUUAGACAAUGGGGGACCUGAUCUAGCCAUGCCGCGUGAGUGACGAAGGCCCCUAGGGGUCGUAAA
rnacentral:rRNA from 1 species